CGAAUGGCGUAAUGAUGGCCAGGCUGUCUCCACCCGAGACUCAGUGAAAUUGAACUCGCUGUGAAGAUGCAGUGUACCCGCGGCAAGACGGAAAGACCCCGUGAACCUUUACUAUAGCUUGACACUGAACAUUGAGCCUUGAUGUGUAGGAUAGGUGGGAGGCUUUGAAGUGUGGACGCCAGUCUGCAUGGAGCCGACCUUGAAAUACCACCCUUUAAUGUUUGAUGUUCUAACGUGGGCCCCUUACCGGGGUUGCGGACAGUGUCUGGUGGGUAGUUUGACUGGGGCGGUCUCCUCCUAAAGAGUAACGGAGGAGCACGAAGGUUGGCUAAUCCUGGUCGGACAUCAGGAGGUUAGUGCAAUGGCAUAAGCCAGCUUGACUGCGAGCGUGACGGCGCGAGCAGGUGCGAAAGCAGGUCAUAGUGAUCCGGUGGUUC
rnacentral:rRNA from 1 species